rnacentral:rRNA from 1 species
AAUCCCUGAGAGAUCAGGGAGUGCUCGAAAGAGAAUCGGAACACAGGUGCUGCAUGGCUGUCGUCAGCUCGUGUCGUGAGAUGUUGGGUUAAGUCCCGNAACGAGCGCAACCCUUGUCAUUAGUUGCUACAUUUAGUUGAGCACUCUAAUGAGACUGCCGGUGACAAACCGGAGGAAGGUGGGGAUGACGUCAAGUCCUCAUGGCCCUUAUGGGUAGGGCUUCACACGUCAUACAAUGGUACAUACAGAGGGCCGCCAACCCGCGAGGGGGAGCUAAUCCCAGAAAGUGUAUCGUAGUCCGGAUUGUAGUCUGCAACUCGACUACAUGAAGUUGGAAUCGCUAGUAAUCGCGGAUCAGCAUGUCGCGGUGAAUACGUUCCCGGGUCUUGUACACACCGCCCGUCACACCAUGGGAGCGGGUUUCACCAGAAGUGGGUAGCCUAACCGCAAGGAGGGCGCUCACCACGGUGGGAUUCGUGACUGGGGUGAAGUCGUAACAAGGUAAGCGUAGUGCU